UACGUAGGGUGCAAGUGUUAAUCGGAAUUACUGGGCGUAAAGCGUGCGCAGGCGGUUGUGUAAGACAGAUGUGAAAUCCCCGGGCUCAACCUGGGAACUGCAUUUGUGACUGCACAGCUGGAGUGCGGCAGAGAGGGAUGGAAUUCCGCGUGUAGCAGUGAAAUGCGUAGAUAUGCGGAGGAACACCGAUGGCGAAGGCAGCCCCCUGGGCUGACACUGACGCUCAGGCACGAAAGCGUGGGGAGCAAACAGG
rnacentral:rRNA from 1 species